GCGGGAGUGCCGGAGUGGUCAAACGGGAUAGGUUCAGGGCCUAUUUGCUUAGCGCAUACGCAGGUUCGAACCCUGUCUCCCGCA
rnacentral:tRNA from 3 species